CAUUCAAAGACUUCAUAUAUGACAUGCGAGCUACCAGAGAUAAACGGAGGCGUAGCAUUGGAUGGGAUUCGGAAAAGAGAAUGUUUCUCAAGGAAAUUUGUUCAGUUAUCCACAAAUUUUCAUGCAGGACCAAGUACAUGCCUUCCUCCAUGCAAAAUCAGCAUUUUUGCUGCCAAGCUUGUACAAGUGACUGACAUA